rnacentral:tRNA from 1 species
GGCCGGUUAGCUCAGUUGGUUAGAGCGUCGUGCUAAUAACGCGAAUGUCGUGGGUUCGCCCCAUACUGGUCA